CCUACGGGGAGGCGGCAGUGGGGAAGUAUUGCACAAUGGGCGAAAGCCUGAUGCAGCGACGCCGCGUGAGGGAUGACGGCCUUCGGGUUGUAAACCGUCUUUCAGCAGGGAAGAAGCGCAAGUGACGGUACCUGCAGAAGAAGCACCGGCUAACUACGUGCCAGCAGCCGCGGUAAUACGUAGGGUGCGAGCGUUGUCCGGAAUUAUUGGGCGUAAAGAGCUCGUAGGCGGCUUGUCGCGUCGGAUGUGAAAGCCCGGGGCUUAACUCCGGGUCUGCAUUCGAUACGGGCAGGCUAGAGUUCGGUAGGGGAGAUCGGAAUUCCUGGUGUAGCGGUGAAAUGCGCAGAUAUCAGGAGGAACACCGGUGGCGAAGGUGGAUCUCUGGGCCGAUACUGACGCUGAGGAGCGAAAGCUGGGGAGCGAACAGGAUUAGAUACCCUGGUAGUCCACGCCGUAAACGUUGGGAACUAGGUGUGGGCGACAUUCCACGUCGUCCGUGCCGCAGCUAACGCAUAAGUUCCCGCCUCGGGGAGUACGGCGCAAGGNUAAAACACAAAGGAAUUAGAACGGACGNGAGAGAGCGACGACGACGACGAGAGGAGGAG
rnacentral:rRNA from 1 species